rnacentral:lncRNA from 1 species
AUGUAUAUGGAAAACGAUGGGUGCAACAUACACAAUAUAAAGACAGCCCCGGCUGUCUUGAAAUUGCGUACCGAACCCUACCUUCCAAUGAGAUUCUGCUUCACAUCUACCACACUGAGAUGGCAUAAGGGAUCAGGAGGUUAGAGUAGUGGAGUCGGCAUUUCGUUUAUCAACCACCGUCCAGUCUUCCGCGUCUUCCCGGGAUAGUGAGCGAAGUGGCAUUCCCGUUAGUGGAAGGCUCGUGAGAACACUAAUGAACUCCUCUCUUGGAAGGACAUGUCACGCGGCAAACUGCGUUGGCUAGUGAUACGCGCAAAAUGCAACAUAUAAAUUAUAUCAAAUAUGGCAUAAGACUAACCCUUUUUUAGUACUAAUGUUGGAAAAAGUGUCUUUUUGUCUUCCUUUUGUAUUUUCAGGAUUAAAUGAGCUCAAAUUAACAAAAGAAGCAAAAAGACAGCAAAAUCUAACAUAAAUACAAGAAAAGGGACAAAAGUGGAUUACCCGACCCCUCGACAGCAUCCUCCCAAGCAAAACAAAGAGAGCAGAAGACUGAAGACGCCCCGUGCUCAGCGAGCACGGGGCCGUGCUCAAGAAGCAGCAGAAAAGACAAACUAAUAGAAGCUUUUAUUGCCCACCACGGGGCCGUGCCCAGCGGACACGGGGGCGUGGUCAGAGUACUGCAGACGCAUUUAUUGUAAUUGCGGAUUACAAUUAAUGAAGAGAGAGAGUGUCAGACGGACACGGGGCCGUGCCCAGGCUUCUGUUCAGCCUAUAAAUAGGAGUGCUUGGAGC